rnacentral:rRNA from 1 species
UACGUAGGGCGCAAGCGUUGUCCGGAAUUAUUGGGCGUAAAGAGCUCGUAGGCGGCUUGUCACGUCGGAUGUGAAAGCCCGGGGCUUAACCCCGGGUCUGCAUUCGAUACGGGCAGGCUAGAGUGUGGUAGGGGAGAUCGGAAUUCCUGGUGUAGCGGUGAAAUGCGCAGAUAUCAGGAGGAACACCGGUGGCGAAGGCGGUUCUCUGGGCCUUACCUGACGCUGAGGAGCGAAAGCGUGGGGAGCGAACAGG